UACGUAGGGUCCGAGCGUUGUCCGGAAUUAUUGGGCGUAAAGAGCGUGUAGGCGGCCAGAUAAGUCCGCUGUGAAAUCUCGAGGCUCAACUUCGAGCUGUCGGUGGAAACUGUCUGGCUAGAGUCCGGAAGAGGAGAAUGGAAUUCCUGGUGUAGCGGUGAAAUGCGCAGAUAUCAGGAAGAACACCCGUGGCGAAGGCGGUUCUCUGGGACGGUACUGACGCUGAGACGCGAAAGCGUGGGGAGCGAACAGG
rnacentral:rRNA from 1 species